rfam:Tetranychus urticae London genomic scaffold, scaffold_42
CUAACAUGUAUGCAAGCUGAUCAGUCUUGUUUAGGCUUGAAAGGCGAAUUGAAAGAAAUUGAUAUGAUGUAUGCUUGUAAGAGUAUACCGCAAUAUCAGCCCGUGAUAUAUCCACUUUACCGAGAUUUUCGCGGAGCACUAGUAUAUAUGUUAGUACCCGAAAGAUGGUGAACUAAGCCCGGACAAGAUGAAGCCAGAGGAAACUCUGGUGGAGGUCUGUAGCGAUUCUGACGUGCAAAUCGAUCGUCAGAUCCGGGUUUAGGGGCGAAAGACUAAUCGAACCGUCUAGUAGCUGG